rfam:Oryza rufipogon genomic scaffold, chr04
AAAAAAAGCAACCCUGGAUUUCUGUGUCCAUCCGUGUUAUAUGAAUUUUUUUAUAAUUCGUAUUUUCAUUGUUAUUAGAUGAUAGAACAUGAUUAAUAUUUUAUACGUGACUUGUCUUUUUAUUUUUUUUCAUAAUUUUUUCAAAUAAGACGGACGGUUAAACGCUGGACACGGAAAUCAGGGUUUGUCUUUUU